rnacentral:rRNA from 1 species
AGAGUUUGAUCCUGGCUCAGAAUCAACGCUGGCGGCGCGCUUAACACAUGCAAGUCGCACGAGAAAGUGGAGCAAUCCAUGAGUAAAGUGGCGUACGGGUGAGUAACACGUGGAUCAUCUACCUCUUAGUGGGGAAUAACCCUGGGAAACCGGGGCUAAUACCGCAUAAGCCUGAAAAGGGAAAGCAGCAAUGCGCUGAGAGAGGAGUCCGCGGCCGAUUAGCUAGUUGGUAGGGUAAUGGCCUACCAAGGCAAUGAUCGGUAGCCGGCCUGAGAGGGCACACGGCCACACUGGCACUGAAACACGGGCCAGACUCCUACGGGAGGCAGCAGUGGGGAAUCUUGCACAAUGGAGGAAACUCUGAUGCAGCGACGCCGCGUGAGCGAUGAAGCCCUUCGGGGUGUAAAGCUCUUUCGACGGGAACGAUAAUGACGGUACCCGGAGAAGAAGCUGCGGCUAACUACGUGCCAGCAGCCGCGGUAAUACGUAGGCAGCAAGCGUUGUUCGGAAUUACUGGGCGUAAAGAGUGUGUAGGCGGUUCUCUAUGUUCGGUGUGAAAUCUCCCGGCUUAACUGGGAGGGUGCGCCGAAAACUGGAGGGCUUGAGUAUGGGAGAGGAAAGCGGAAUUCCUGGUGUAGCGGUGAAAUGCGUAGAUAUCAGGAGGAACACCUGAGGUGUAGACGGCUUUCUGGACCAUCACUGACGCUGAGACACGAAAGCGUGGGUAGCAAACAGGAUUAGAUACCCCGGUAGUCC